GUGUCAGCCGCCGCGGUAAUACAGAGGGUGCGAGCGUUGUCCGGAAUCACUGGGCGUAAAGGGCGCGUAGGUGGCUUACCAAGCGUGUGGUGAAAGCCCGGAGCUCAACUCCGGGUCGGCCAUGCGAACUGGCAGGCUAGAGCACGGUAGAGGCCAAUGGAAUUCCGGGUGUAGCGGUGGAAUGCGUAGAGAUCCGGAAGAACACCGGUGGCGAAGGCGGUUGGCUGGGCCGUUGCUGACACUGAUGCGCGACAGCGUGGGGAGCAAACAGGAUUAGAAACCCGUGUAGUCC
rnacentral:rRNA from 1 species